rnacentral:rRNA from 1 species
UGAGGAAUAUUGGUCAAUGGGCGAGAGCCUGAACCAGCCACGUCGCGUGAAGGAAGACUGACCUUACGGUUUGUAAACUUCUUUUGUAGAGGGGUAAUGGCAGAUACGUGUAUUUGCGUGAAAGUACUCUACGAAUAAGCAUCGGCUAACUCCGUGCCAGCAGCCGCGGUAAUACGGGGGAUGCGAGCGUUAUCCGGAAUUAUUGGGUUUAAAGGGUGCGCAGGUGGCUAAUCAGGUCAGUGGUGAAAAGCUAUGGCUCAACCAUGGUCUUGCCAUUGAAACCGUAUAGCUAGAGAGGAGACGAGGUAGGCGGAAUGUGUGGUGUAGCGGUGAAAUGCAUAGAUAUCACACAGAACUCCGAUUGCGAAGGCAGCUUACCAUGCUUUAUCUGACACUUAGGCACGACAGCGUGGGGAUCAAACAGG